UACGUAGGGGGCAAGCGUUACUCGGAAUCACUGGGCGUAAAGAGCGCGUAGGCGGGAUAGCAAGUCAGAUGUGAAAUCCUAUGGCUUAACCAUAGAACUGCAUUUGAAACUGUUAUUCUAGAGUAUGGGAGAGGUAGGUGGAAUUCUUGGUGUAGGGGUAAAAUCCGUAGAGAUCAAGAGGAAUACUCAUUGCGAAGGCGACCUGCUAGAACAUCAACUGACGCUGAUGCGCGAAAGCGUGGGGAGCAAACAGG
rnacentral:rRNA from 1 species